UCUUUUUUUAUCAAUCGAGCACCAUAUCAUUUCAAUAGAGAAAUUUGAUUUUAAAAAAAAUAUAUAUUGAAAGGUUUAAUGUAUUUAUAUUGCACAAAUAGUUUAACCUUUUAAUAUACUCAAAGUUUGAAGCACAAAAUUUGAAAUACGACUGUAAAGGCCUAAUUUCGUCUGGUCCGAAACCAAAAAUAAAUAAACAAAAUAUAAAACCCAAAAAAUAAAAAAGUCCAUUUACAAAAUAAUGACCCAAAUACAAAACCCAAAGCCAAACCCAGUGUUACACAAGCCCAAGCCCAAAUAACCUAAAGUUUUUCAAAAACCCUAAAACCCUAGGUUUCGUUCUCGCGCCGCUCCUUGACACAUCAACAAGCGCCCCUCCCGAAGACACCCACACCCCAAGGUCUGCUCCUCUACCAUCCUUGCACCAAAAUGACAAAGGCAUGGAUCUCUCCCCGCCGUUGACCGUGCAUCGCCGCCUACAAGAAGAAAGAAAUAAAGACAGAAACA
rnacentral:lncRNA from 1 species